GAUGAACGCUGGCGGCGUGCCUAAUACAUGCAAGUCGAGCGAACGGACGAGAAGCUUGCUUCUCUGAUGUUAGCGGCGGACGGGUGAGUAACACGUGGAUAACCUACCUAUAAGACUGGGAUAACUUCGGGAAACCGGAGCUAAUACCGGAUAAUAUUUUGAACCGCAUGGUUCAAAAGUGAAAGACGGUCUUGCUGUCACUUAUAGAUGGAUCCGCGCUGCAUUAGCUAGUUGGUAAGGUAACGGCUUACCAAGGCAACGAUGCAUAGCCGACCUGAGAGGGUGAUCGGCCACACUGGAACUGAGACGCGGCCCAGACUCCUACGGGAGGCAGCAGUAGGGAAUCUUCCGCAAUGGGCGAAAGCCUGACGGAGCAACGCCGCGUGAGUGAUGAAGGUCGUCGGAUCGUAAAACUCUGUUAUUAGGGAAGAACAUAUGUGUAAGUAACUGUGCACAUCUAGACGGUACAUAAUCAGAAAGCCACGGCUAACUACG
rnacentral:rRNA from 1 species